rnacentral:lncRNA from 1 species
CCGCCACGUUUCCUGUCUGUAACCGAAAACGUCUAAAGACGAUAAAAAUAGCAGCUACACUGGUGCACUUCUUGCUGAACAUGCUCACGUACAGGUGAAAGGUUUUAUCAGACAAGGCUUUAUUGGACAUUUGACCCUAUUAAAUCAUGCAGACAGAAUGCACAAGUCAAUAUGUUGCUAUUGGUCUGACAUCGAUUGCACUGCUGAUAUCUGUGUGCUUAAAUGUUGCAUUCUGUUUAUUAAGAAGAAAGGAAAAAAAAUAUGCAGCUAAUGAAAACAUGUUUGAAUAUGGAGAUGAGCCAUUACGUCAAGAUUCACUUCGGUCUUACAGGUUUGAGGAUGAUGAGAUGGAAAGACAGGAAAAUCCGAUUUAUGGAAAUAUAUGUUUAGAGGCAGGAGGACCUUUUGAAAUGUCUCCAGAGGUGUGCUAUGAACAAAUGUCACAUGCAGGCACAGCAAAGCAGGGAUUAAAGGUCCAGCAGGGGGACGUGUCCUAUGCCUCUCUGGAUCUGACUGCCAAUAAAAAGCGUAGGAAGAAGAGAAAAUACCAAAAACAGACUCACCCUCAGACUCACCAGGCCCAGACACAUCCUCAGCCUGCAUCCCAGCAGAACUGCAUGAACCAGGAUGACGAGGCUGAUGUCACCCUCCCGUCCCGGAGCAGCAGCCUCAUGGUUUCACGUCACAGCAUCUACCUCAACAGUCAUCAAGUAGCCCUGGAGGCAGAAGAGAUGGAGAGGGAGAGAGAGAGGGAGAGAGAAAGAGAGAUGGAAAUGGAAAUGGAAAGAGAAAGAGAUGAUAAUGAAGAGAGAGAGUUUGAGAUGCACAGAAAAGUGCUUGAAGGCUUUGAUCACUCCCUCGGUAGAUCAAGACAAAGUCUAAAACAGGACAGUUAACAGUUAGAGAGUUCAAAAAAUACAAAUAAAAAUACCUUUAGCGAAUUAAAAGAAACGAACACAGGAUACUGUGGGGUGGUGCUGUCAAUAGCUGUGACAUUUAAAGCUCAUCUCUAUCCCAGAUCAUAAGUUCUGUGUGUUCUAAAGCAUGCA